rnacentral:rRNA from 1 species
AUUGAACGCUGGCGGCAUGCCUUACACAUGCAAGUCGAACGGUAACAGGUCUUCGGAUGCUGACGAGUGGCGAACGGGUGAGUAAUACAUCGGAACGUGCCCAAUCGUGGGGGAUAACGCAGCGAAAGCUGUGCUAAUACCGCAUACGAUCUACGGAUGAAAACAGGGGACCGCAAGGCCUUGCGCGAAUGGAGCGGCCGAUGGCAGAUUAGGUAGUUGGUGAGGUAAAGGCUCACCAAGCCUUCGAUCUGUAGCUGGUCUGAGAGGACGACCAGCCACACUGGGACUGAGACACGGCCCAGACUCCUACGGGAGGCAGCAGUGGGGAAUUUUGGACAAUGGGCGCAAGCCUGAUCCAGCUAUGCCGCGUGCAGGAUGAAGGCCUUCGGGUUGUAAACUGCUUUUGUACGGAACGAAACGGCCUUUUCUAAUAAAGAGGGCUAAUGACGGUACCGUAAGAAUAAGCACCGGCUAACUACGUGCCAGCCGCCGCCGUAA